CAGUGCUAACAGAAUAACUCAGGUUCAUUGGCGCAUGAUUACUGCUUACAAUAUCUGUUCGACUGACAGAGGCAUUCAGGGAAGUUAGAGGAAAAUACAUUUGGUUACUUACAUUAUGACUUCCAACACAGGGAUAAUGUACAUUUGCAGCAGCACUACGACAACUCAGCGACACAAUGACACCACAGAAUGGCGACGAGGAACAUUUGGGACGUAUUGCGUCUUUUCUCAGCAUUCCAUUCAUGGGCAACGAAGUGACUCCCGCUCAAGACGCCGGCAGAUAAGAGACGAGAAGGAGGAGACAGAGAGAGAGAGAGGGGAGGUGCUGACGAGUACAUCAAGCGACAGGGUGUGCUGCAACGGAUCAAGUCAAAUUAAGGCCAGUACUGUUCUAUCCACAAAACCUACUUUCCCUUACAGGAU